UGGGGAAUUUUGGACAAUGGGGGAAACCCUGAUCCAGCCAUCCCGCGUGUGCGAUGAAGGCCUUCGGGUUGUAAAGCACUUUUGGCAGGAAAGAAACGUCGCGGGUUAAUACCCCGCGAAACUGACGGUACCUGCAGAAUAAGCACCGGCUAACUACGUGCCAGCAGCCGCGGUAAUACGUAGGGUGCAAGCGUUAAUCGGAAUUACUGGGCGUAAAGCGUGCGCAGGCGGUUCGGAAAGAAAGAUGUGAAAUCCCAGAGCUUAACUUUGGAACUGCAUUUUUAACUACCGGGCUAGAGUGUGUCAGAGGGAGGUGGAAUUCCGCGUGUAGCAGUGAAAUGCGUAGAUAUGCGGAGGAACACCGAUGGCGAAGGCAGCCUCCUGGGAUAACACUGACGCUCAUGCACGAAAGCGUGGGGAGCAAACAGGAUUAGAUACCCUGGUAGUCCACGCCCUAAACGAUGUCAACUAGUUGUUGGGGCCUUCGGGCCUUGGUAGCGCAGCUAACGCGUGAAGUUGACCGCCUGGGGAGUACGGUCGCAAGAUUAAAA
rnacentral:rRNA from 1 species